UACGAGGGGAGCAAGCGUUGUUCGGAUUUACUGGGCGUAAAGGGCGCGUAGGCGGCGUGACAAGUCACUUGUGAAAUCUCCGGGCUUAACCCGGAACGGUCAAGUGAAACUGUCGUGCUAGAGUACAGAAGGGGCGACUGGAAUUCUCGGUGUAGCGGUGAAAUGCGUAGAUAUCGAGAGGAACACCUGCGGCGAAGGCGGGUUGCUGGGCUGAUACUGACGCUGAUGCGCGAAAGCCAGGGGAGCGAACGGG
rnacentral:rRNA from 1 species